CGACGGUUGGAGAAGGCAGUCGCGUUUGUGUUUUGUCCGUUUCUUUCCUGUCCUUGUUUCCUGUAUUUAAGAGCCUCAGCAGCUUGGCCCAUCUCAGUGAGUGAACGCAGAUGGGAGAGAUGCCCAGCAGUGGAAAACUGGGAAUAAACUGGCUUAAUGAAAGCAUCAUGGCACAGUGAAAAGCCAGUCUAAGCCGUCAGUGAGAAUGUCCCGCGGGUAGGAAGAUGGGCUGGUGUGCGUGCUGGGGGCUGGAAGCUUGCCUAGAUCCAGGAGCUCUGUUGGCCCUCUGCGGGCUUAUGGUAGACCACUCUCUCACUACACAGUACCUCCUGGGAACAACCAGAAAGCUGAUAUGCCAUGUUACAGGGUGACGGCCACCUUCAUGACGAAGUUAUGCUCUGCAAGGCUAUGGUGCACAAUAACAGCUAUUCACUACUUACUGCUGUCUCUGUUUCACAAGUUUCUUGCUCAUCAACUUGCGUCAUCAUCCAUUUGUAUCAAAGAAUUUCAUUGUUCAGCAC